UGGAUGCACUGGCCAAUAAAAAGGGAAAGCUCUAGUUGUGAUUAGAUUGGAUGCACUGGCCAGUAAAAAGGGAAAGAUCGAGUUGUGAUUAGAUUGGAUGCACUGGCCAAUAAAAAGGGAAAGCUCUAGUUGUGAUUAGAUUGGAUGCACUGGCCAGUAAAAAGGGAAAGAUCUAGUUGUGAUUAGAUUGGAUGCACUAGUUGUGAAGGACCACUUUAAUCCAAUUAUGGGAACUCCAUUGAGGGGUUCUGGAGGCGUUCUGCAAAAGAAUAAAGUCCAACCAUGCGUUUUCUUGGUUCCCUGGAGAUAUAUUGAAUUGGAUAACAUCUAUGUUGACAACAACCUCAGCUCUGCUGCACCUUGUAGUUAGUCCUGUCUGUGGAAGUAUGACAGGCCCGUUUAGGCGGGACUCUGAAGUAGCAGCUCUCAGUGGAUGAGUCGAUGCACAGCAUGGCAACAAUUUGUGUCUGUUUUAGGAUAACGAAUGAGCUUUUGGCAAUCCCAGAUCGCUGAGCCUGUGAAUGGAGUGGGUCUGAACCCAAACAACACAACGAUGGUGGAGCUUGAGAUUGUGACAGUAGCUGGAAUCCUUGUCCAUUGUAGUGCUGUUGGAGAUAUCCAUGGAUGAUCACUUUGAAUCUCAUAGGGUUCUGUUAGUUGAAACAUUUGGUUCAUAGAUGAAUGACACACCACCGGCCAUUCAGUUUCUUGGACGGGUAUAUGUACCACCCCUGGCCACAUCGAGAAUAAGAUUCUUAUUGUAAUGAUUAUAUGUAUGUAUUCUAUAUGAA